GUGAGCAGUACGAGCUGAAAGGCUCCCAUACUGUUCGGAGGGCAGGGGCUUUUCCUGACCCCUAU
rnacentral:ncRNA from 1 species